ensembl:snRNA U2 U2 spliceosomal RNA
AUCGCUUCUCGGCCUUUUGGCUAAGAUCAAGUGUAGUAUCUGUUCUUAUCAGUUUAAUAUCUGAUACGCCCCCGAUUCGGGGCAACGAUAAACCCAUUUUUAGAACAGGGAGCUGAAUAAGGGGCUCGCUCCGUUCGCUCCACGCAUCGACCGGUAUUGCAGCGCCUCCGGGAACGGUGCCCCCUUU